GUGGGACAGGGGCGCGGGGCAGGGGGUCGCUCACCGGGCUCCGGUGCGUCCUCUCUCCGCCGCCGCCGCCGCCGCCGACUGGCACUCGGACUCGGGCCCAGGCAGAAUUUGCUACUGUACGUGAUUUGCGUGAUCAGACGCUACAGAAUGAAUCUUGGCGGAGGGGUCCCUGCCGGGGCUCCAAGGGAACCACGUGUCGACAGGCAGAACCUUCAGCUUCCUGACGUCUGGAGCUCACUGUUGGCAGCAAACAGGCAUUGAAUGGACCGUGAUGGAUCCAGGACUGGGAGAGAAUUUGACCAGAGCCCUGUGUACAUCAGGGCCUACAUAGGUUGAUGGCUGCCUGAUUUCAGUUUGGUUCAGUUCUGUAAUAGGAAUUUCAGCUGUGGAGUCAGAAUGCAAGGCCUCUUGAGAAAGAUGUACAUUUACUUCUGAGAAAGCAUGAAGAUUUAGGUUGUUGUUUAACCUGAGUGUCCAGAGGUAAAAAUCUUGUGGCUGUUGUGAAAAAUGUAGUGUUAUAUUAAGUUUUGGUUAUUAAGGUUUUAACUUUGUAGCCUUCCUGUCUGGAGAAAUAAAAUCCUUUAAAUGAAAAUGCUGUUCUCUUGAGUCAUUAGACCUUGAACCAAAUGAUACUGAGUUAAAAGGUGGAUCCCACACUCUACAUGACUUGUUGACAUCCUCUGAUACUUCCCUGUCCAUCACCAACUCCUGGAGCUUGCUCAAACUCAGGUCCAUUGAGUCGGUGAUGCCAUCAGAUCCUCUCAUGCUCUGUUGCUCCCUUCUGCCUUCAAUCUCCCAGCAUCAGUGUCUUUUCCAGUGAGCAUCAAGUAGCUAAAGUAUUGGGAGUUUUGCUUCAGCAUCAGUUCUUCAAUGAAUAUUCAGGGUUGA
ensembl:lncRNA